AGUGAUACUGAGCCCUUAUAUGGCAAGAGCUUUCUGGUGAUGGGCAGGCAUGUGGAUAUUCUUACCGGGACACCAAGCUAAGGAAAAAUGACCGUCACUCUCCAACAUCUAUUUGAUCCCACCCCCAAGACUCCUAGUAAAAUCUUUACCAAAACCUCUUGUAGGAUGCUCCCAUCAGUGGCUUUAGUCUUUUUGAAGCUUCAAAUUCCAGGUGCUAUUUGCUGUCACGCUCCACAUGUCUCACAUAAGG